rnacentral:rRNA from 1 species
AUUGAACGCUGGCGGCAGGCCUAACACAUGCAAGUCGAACGAGUGGCGGACGGGUGAGUAAUGUCUGGGAACCUGCCCGAUGGAGGUGGAUAACUACUGGAAGCGGUAGCUAAUCCCGCAUCCCAUCGGAUGUGCCCAGAUGGGAUUAGCUAGUAGGUGGGGUAAAGGCUCACCUAGGCGACGAUCCCUAGCUGGUCUGAGAGGAUGACCAUCCACACUGGAACUGAGACACGGCCCAGACUCCUACGGGAGGCAGCAGUGGGGAAUAUUGCACAAUGGGCGCAAGCCUGAUGCAGCCAUGCCGCGUGUAUGAAGAAGGCCUUCGGGUUGUAAAGCCCUUUUGUUGGGAAAGCGUUACCCAAAGAAUAAGCACCGGCUAACUUCGUGCCAGCAGCCGCGGUAAUUC